GGAAAUAUCUGACUUGUUUUUCAUGAAGCUUUCUUUCCAUGAAAUAGAAGCGAUAAAGGAUCACAUGGGUACACUGUACAAGUGAGUUGUGCUUCUCCUGUAGCAUCACCUCCUGGCACCACAGAGGAUCUCAGCAGUUCUGCAGCAUUCAGUGUUCGUGCAUCUGACAGGCCAGCAGUACUCAGCUAACCAAGAUGUCAACACUGUGGAGUUGUAGAUCAUAUUUGAUAAUCUAGAAGGAUACACUGCUGCCAUGGUAGUUUUCCAUAUGUGCACGCACACCUGCAUCCUCAAAUCUAAUCACAGAAGAAGGAGUUAAUGGGUGCGACUGGCUGCAUGAACUCUCCAGCCUCUCCCAGGACUUCCCAAUAAGCAGAUGAUUUUUUGCAUCUCUGUGCCUGCAAUAAAGAGAAGGGCAAUAAGAAAAUAAGAUAAUGAAAACUGAGACUCUCAUUUGAGGAGUUGGAGAAAUAUUAUCGUCAUGAAAAAAAUAGGAAGAGUGGAGGAACUGGCAACAUUAAUUUUGCACAUGUUUCAGGAUUUUUGGCAAUCACAUACUCACCCACUGUGAAGAAAAGCUUUCUAGCUGACCAGAAUGCAUCUUCAACUCAAUAUAGCAACUGGGGCUUCAGUCUUUCUGAAAGUAGUUCUUCCUAUUUAUUUCCAUGGGAACUACAACAAAUAGAAAUAUAACAAUAAGAGUAUUUGAUGGAGCAAAUUCUCAGUUACGAAACACUGUUUUUCAGUAUAGUAACCACCAUUAGCUAUGCACUUUUGCCAGCUAUUGCACUUUCACCAGCAAUGAAAAAGAGCCUGCAUGCCAUGCUCGUUAAAAUCUGCAUGGCUAUCCAGAACUGGGCUUGUCUUUCACGUUGCUGCUGCCACUGCUGAAAUGCACCACUCACCACCUCACUGUGCUCACAUCCAUGUUUUGGUUUCCAUAAAUGUUCAGCAAGCAUGGAUGAAUGUCAAUGGGUGCAAUUUUUUUUUCCGCAUAGAGGAAUACCAUGCCACACCUUUACUUCAUA